rnacentral:antisense_RNA from 1 species
GGGUGCUCGUGGUUUCUACCAUGAGCAAACCAGUUUUGUAAGUGGUAGAAAAUACAAAGCCCCGAAUGAACUAUAAAUUCAAACGAGGCCAAGUAGAUGUGUCUAGCAAUACAAAUACUAGCCUCUUCAUCGAGUGGAGGCAAUGAAAAAUGCCAAAAAG